rnacentral:misc_RNA from 1 species
GAUGAAGAACGCAGCGAAAUGCGAUACGUAGUGUGAAUUGCAGAAUUCAGUGAAUCAUCGAAUCUUUGAACGCACAUUGCACCUCUCGGUAUUCCGGGAGGUAUGCCUGUUCGAGCGUCAUUUGUACCCUCAAGCUCUGCUUGGUGUUGGGUGUUUGUUCCGCCUCUGUGUGUGAACUCGCCUCAAAACAAUUGGCAGCCGGCGUACUUGUUUCGGAGCGCAGCACAUUUUGCGAUCCAGAUCAACGUACAGCGGCAUCCAAGAAGCCUUAUUUAACGCUCUUGACCUCGGAUCAGGUAGGACUACCCGCUGAACUUAAGCAUAUCAAUAAGCGGAGGA